GUGGACAACUUCAGCAUUACAGCCCCUUUCUGGGACAUCCCUGAAAGACGGUGGAGAAGAAAAAUGCCCCCCACCCCUGUGGGCAGAACUUCUGGCAGUGCAUCUGGUUGUGUACUUCGCUUGGAAGGAGAAACAGCCAGAUGUGUGAUUAUAUACUGAUUAUAUACUGAUUAAUGGGCUGUAACCACUGGUCGGGCUGGAUGAAACUUGGAAGGAACAUAAUUGGAAAAUUGGUGAUAACAAAAUUGGAGGAAGAGCUAAGAUACAUGAGUCCAGGAAUCAAAGGACGGAAAAGGAAAUGACACGGCUUACUAUUACCCCUAAUGGUCCACUAGCAAAACGUUUGCUUCCUGUUCCCAUGACUUUAUCCUCCGCUGGCCUAGAGGUCUUAGUUCUAGAGAGAGGAAUGCUUCUACCAGGAGACACAACAGUUCUAUUGAACUAAAACUUAAGACUGCCACGCAGCAACUUUGGGCUUCUCAUGCCUCUGAGUCAACAGGCCAAGAAGGGAGUUACCGUGCUGCCUGGGGUGAUUACUCUGGGAUACCAAGGAAAAAUUGACUACCACUGCACAAUGGAGGUAAAGAAGAGUAUGUCUGGAAUACAGAAUAGCUGAGAUCAACCUUGAUUGCCUUUUAAGUCAAGUAAAUUGGAGGACAGGCUGCCCAGUAUCUUAGUUCUUCUAAGACUGCUUGCAACCCAGAAAGUGUGAACAGUGUGAUGACGAAUGCUCUUAAGACCAGGAAUUCAAGCUUAACUCCCAACCCCUUGAGUGUGGGCUAGACUUAGUGACCUGCUUCUAAGGAAUAGAGUAUGGAAAGAGGAAAAUAGCAACAUUACAGGAGAGAAACCUGAAAGCACCUUAACCAAGUGAUCACAGAAUCACUGGUAAUAACUCUUGUUGAUAUCAUGUGCCCCCAAUACAGUAUGAUGAAAAGACCCAUCAUCUCUGUGAUAUUUAUCCUCAAAAUCUAUAAUCUUACAACAAUUAUGAGAAAAUAUAGACAAACCCAAUUUGAAAGGAAGCAAGUCUACAAGAUACUUAACCAGUACUUUACAAAAGUGACAAGGUCACAAAAGACAGCACAAGACUGAGAAACUCGCAGAUUGGAGGAAGCCAAAGAGACAUCAUGGCUGAGAUCAUGGUGGUGGAACCCUGGUUUGGAUCCUGGAACAGAAAAAAAGAACACUAAGUGGAAAAACUGAUGAAAUAUAAAUAAUAUAAUAAAAAUCUAUAAUUUAA